rnacentral:tRNA from 1 species
AAAGGGAGACCUAAUUCAGGUAUGGGACGAAAAAAAAGUAGUCCCAACCAAGAAUCAAUCCCAAAAGGUCGGAGCGAGGCGAAAUUGGCUUUCAAACUAGGUUCUGGGUUCACACAAGACCUGAAUCAGGAACAAGGGCUAUUAGCUCAGGUGGUUAGAGCGCACCCCUGAUAAGGGUGAGGUCCCUGGUUCGAGUCCAGGAUGGCCCACCUGCACAGGUGGCAAUAACAAGAGAAGCUCCGAAUCAGCACCUUAUCUUACUUAUAUAGUAAGAGAGAAUGCUGGCUCUGAGUUCAGAGUCCAGAGGAACCUUGAAAACUGCAUAGAGCUAGGUGAAAAAGCCAAAAAAGAAGACCGCAAG